rnacentral:miRNA from 1 species
AGCUGCAGUUGACGUCGACAGCG